rnacentral:rRNA from 1 species
UACGGGGGGUGCAAGCGUUAAUCGGAAUUACUGGGCGUAAAGGGCGUGUAGGCGGUAUGAAACGCAUUUCGUGAAAGAACAGGGCUUAACCUUGUAGAGCGAAGUGAACGGGCAUGCUAGAGUAGCUAAGAGGAAGGUGGAAUUUCAAGUGUAACGUUGAAAUGUUUAGAGAUUUGAAGGAACACCAGUGGCGAAGGCGGCCUUCUGGUAGCUUACUGACGCUGAGACGCGAAGGCGCGGGGAGCAAACAGG